rnacentral:rRNA from 1 species
UACGUAGGAUCCAAGCGUUGUCCGGAUUUACUGGGUGUAAAGGGAGCGUAGGCGGAUUUUCAAGUCGAUGGUGAAAUCGUGCAGCUUAACUGUACAACUGCCUUCGAUACUGUAAAUCUUGAAUAUGGAAGAGGGUGACGGAAUUCAUGGUGUAGCAGUGAAAUGCGUAGAUAUCAUGAAGAACACCGGUAGCGAAGGCGGUCACCUGGUCCAUUAUUGACGCUCAGGCUCGAAAGCGUGGGGAGCAAACAGGAUUAGAUACCCUGGUAGUCCACGCCUUAAACGAUGAAUACUUGGUGUUGGGUCGCAAGACUCAGUGCCGAAGCUAACGCAUUAAGUAUUCCACCUGGGGAGUACGAUCGCAAGGUUG